UACCAGCACCCCGAGUGGUCGGGACGUUUAUUGGGCCUAAAGCAUCCGUAGCCGGUUCUACAAGUCUUCCGUUAAAUCCACCUGCUUAACAGAUGGGCUGCGGAAGAUACUAUAGAGCUAGGAGGCGGGAGAGGCAAGCGGUACUCGAUGGGUAGGGGUAAAAUCCGUUGAUCCAUUGAAGACCACCAGUGGCGAAGGCGGCUUGCCAGAACGAGCUCGACGGUGAGGGAUGAAAGCUGGGGGAGCAAACCGG
rnacentral:rRNA from 1 species